CCUACGGGCGGCAGCAGUGAGGAAUAUUGGUCAAUGGCCGAGAGGCUGAACCAGCCAAGUCGCGUGAGGGAAGACGGCCCUACGGGUUGUAAACCUCUUUUGUCGGGGAGCAAAGCGAACCACGUGUGGUUCAUUGAGAGUACCCGAAGAAAAAGCAUCGAAUAACUCCGUGCCAGCAGCCGCGGUAAUACGGAGGAUGCGAGCGUUAUCCGGAUUUAUUGGGUGUAAAGGGUGCGCAGGCGGAGGUGCAAGUCAGCGGUCAAAUUGCGGGGCUCAACCCCGCACUGCCGUUGAAACUGCAUCCCUUGCUUGCGCGAGAAGUAGGCGGAAUGCGUGGUGUAGCGGUGAAAUGCAUAGAUAUCACGCAGAACUCCGAUUGCGAAGGCAGCAUACCGGCGCGCAACUGACGCUCAUGCACGAAAGCGUGGGUAUCGAACAGGAUUAGAUACCCUAGUAGUC
rnacentral:rRNA from 1 species